rnacentral:rRNA from 1 species
CCUACGGGUGGCUGCAGUGGGGAAUAUUGGACAAUGGGCGAAAGCCUGAUCCAGCCAUGCCGCGUGUGUGAAGAAGGCCUUCGGGUUGUAAAGCACUUUCAGUGGGGAAGAAAGCCUUGGGGCUAAUACCCUCGAGGAAGGACAUCACCCACAGAAGAAGCACCGGCUAACUCCGUGUCAGCAGCCGCGGUAAUACGGAGGGUGCGAGCGUUAAUCGGAAUUACUGGGCGUAAAGCGCGCGUAGGCGGUCUGAUAAGCCGGUUGUGAAAGCCCCGGGCUCAACCUGGGAACGGCAUCCGGAACUGUCAGGCUAGAGUGCAGGAGAGGAAGGUAGAAUUCCCGGUGUAGCGGUGAAAUGCGUAGAGAUCGGGAGGAAUACCAGUGGCGAAGGCGGCCUUCUGGACUGACACUGACGCUGAGGUGCGAAAGCGUGGGUAGCAAACAGGAUUAGAUACCCCGGUAGUC